rfam:Oryza meridionalis cultivar OR44 (W2112) chromosome 1, whole genome shotgun sequence.
UUUAAAUACAAUCAUAAGUUUCCGUGUCCAACUUUAAUCCGUCUUAUUUAAAACUUUUUUUAUAUGAUUGAUACUUUUAUUGACACUAGAUGAUAAAAUAUGAAUAUUACUUUGUGUGACUUAUGUUUUAUAAUUUUUUUAAAAAAAAUUAAAUAAGAUAAACUAUUAAAGUUAAAUACGAAAAUUUAUGGUUACGCUUAAA